rnacentral:lncRNA from 1 species
CACGCCUUAAUGCGGUGCUACACUACGCCAUUAAGGUGGACAGACGGGUGUAUAAAUAUGUGUCCAUACCCCCUAUAUAAAUUAAACACUCAAAUAGGGCUACUACGCUUACGUCCAACGCUCACGUCACACCAUAAUGCGGCUAUAUGCUACGCCAUUAAGGUGUACAGACACAUAUGGCUAGCUAGCAUUUUCUAUACAUACUCUCUCAUAAUUACAUAUUUAUAUUUACCGAAAAUCCCAUUUUCGGUAACUCUCUAAGAGAAAUAAAAGCGUCAAAAUUAAUUGACGUCAAAAACUCCAACAAAAGGAAACGUUCAAUCAUGAACCAUAGCAUGCAUAUUAUUUCAAAUAAAAGUCCACUCACUAAUUAGGCCUAAGCCUGAUGUCGAUCUGGGUUCUCGUCUGCUCGAGCCUCCUCACGUCCUGUUCCAAAUAUAAUAUUAAUUUCCCAACCAAUAAUCCAAUAUUUAAUCAAAAUAGGCAAAAUUACCCGAGAGCCAUAAUUACGCUCAUCAUUGCCUAACUUCGAUAUUCUUACAUCGGAACAAUCCGAACUUAAAUAUCAUACUCAACAGUCGUAAAUACAACCUCCCCAAAAUACGACUUAAAUCCUACGGCCGGAUUCUACAUUAAUUAACCGCCAAAAAUACCAAACUUCGGAAAUUCACAAACCUAUCCAAAUCUCAUCCAAAAAUUCCAAAAUUCACUUCAAUAAUAUCCCCUUAAUAUUCUACAUCAAAAACCACAAAACUUCCCAAAACAGCGGUGGCGCCGCCGGCGGCUCCGCCGGCAGCGGCGGCCGGCGACCAACUCCGGCAACCUGCAAAAGCUACCAAAUUUUAACAGAAUCUUCCUCUCAAUCUCCUCUACAACUUUCAUGACCAACACAUCACCCAAUUCCAAGCCUAACUAGGCUAAUCGAACGAAAACAACUUAAAAGCCUAGAAAUUUCAACUCCACAUUUCUCCUUACCUAGCUCAAGAGGGGGGGAGCUGCUUGGAGGGGUUGUUGCACGGGAGGAGGGCUACAAAACCGUACCAAGCUUGCCCGGAUUGGUGGCCGGAGGAGAAAGUUCCGGCGAAGUGAAGCUUUGGACAGUCGGACCUUUCGGGCGGCACCGCUCACUCACGGCGGCGCUAGGGGGGCUGCUACCGGCCUAGAAUGGAAGCUGGGUUGGAGGUCGACCGAACGGGACCGGUGUGGCGGCGGUUGGUGGCCGGACGGCGGCGGGAGGACAGCCGGAAAACCGGGCAGCGGGAGGCUCGGGGAGAGGAAAAGAAAAGAGGGAAGAAGAGAAAGGGAGGAGGAAAAAGAAAUGGGUUGGGCCUCCACCGGUCCAACCUAUAUCAACCCAAAUUCCAAAAAUAAAAACACCCCGAAAAUAAUACCCGAAUAAAAUUACCUUUUACUAGCUAAAAUUUACCAUUUUUACCGUCGUCGUAUUUUCCUCAUACGAAUAAUCCUCCGC